AGCAGCCCAUUAGAAAGCUUCCCCAAACCAAAGGACCAGUCUACCUGCUGCUGUGGAGCGAGGCACACAACUCCACUCCCUCUUCCUUGAGACAAGGCCACCUCUGCCUACCUCCUUCAAUGAGGCCCCAGAACUGGGGACCAGGCAGCCCUCUCUAGCCUGGCCUGACACCUGAGCGCCACGGUCCCACUGCAGCCUGGUACAGCACUGCUUUCUCAGGGGCCACAGAACACCUUUGUCCCAGUAAUGUGUUUUUAGGUCAAAGUGGAGAGGUUUGAGGGAUAGGGGUUCUGUAAGUUUUGCGUAUCUACUAAUCCCUGGGACUCUUGGCUGCUCCCGUACAAGGCAGGGAGUGGAAAUCAAUGGCUUGCCUUCUGGACUUUGGUUAUCCUGAGCUCAGAGCUGCAGUGAGUUCCUCUCUGUCAGUGCACAGCUUCAUUUGGGGGACCCUUCAGGCACAAUCCUCAGAGAUGGGACCGUUUCCAAUGGUGGUAUGUGAGCAAUUUCAGGAGACACGUGGGCCAUCAACUCACAGUGAGGAAACUACUCUUUUAAAGUAUCUUGCAGUCUCUCCAGUUAUGACAAAGAGAAAGUCUCUGUUCGUGUUGGUAUGUCCUUAGUACCCUCUUUAACCCUUGGUAAUCCCCCAGGCCUUCAGGAAAUGGCAUAAUUUCAAUCCCUUUUGUUUUUCCUUGUAUACUACUUAUGGCAAGUAAUAUCAGCUUCCCAUUUACAGUAGUAUUAUAUAAGGCUGCCUUUCAAAAUAAAGUUCUCAUGGUCCCCAGCCCUGAAAAAACAAUAAAAAUAGGAAACAUUAAAGAAAAAGAUAAAUUAAGUAAAAGCUUUUGAUUUGAUGAGGAAAAACAGUCACUCAUCAUCUUUGCCUGCUGCACGCUCAUCUGCAUCAUCUGCAUCCUCCUGCUGCCCGAGAGCAGGGACCAGAACCUGCCUGAGAACAUUUCUAACGGGGAGCACUACACGCGCCAGCCGCUGCUGCCGCACAAGAAGGGGGAGCAGCCACUGCUGCUCACCAACGCCGAGCUCAAGGACUACUCGGGCCUCCACGAUGCCGCAGCCGCGGGUGACACACUGCCCGAGGGUGCCACGGCCAACGGCAUGAAGGCCAUGUAGCCCGGCCUGCGGAACCCGGGGCUCCAGGGUCUGGGGCAGCUUGGGCACAGGUUUACAGACCAGGGACCGAACACGCAUCUGGGAAGAUGCCACAGUGACCAGGGCCAUGGCCGGUCCCUCUGGGGAGAUGGGACACGGCUCCUGGCAGCACCCAGGAGCCCCCCAGGCUGCCUGCCUGCGUGCAGAGGCAGGAGAGGACCAAGAGCUUCUGUUCGUGUGCAGGGAAAGCAGCUCACAGACGCCGUUAAAACCACUCAAAAAGAUGGCAGAGGCAAAUCCACAGAAGGGGGGCUGCCCUCCACACACACACGCCCGUCACCCACACCUUGAGCACACACCAUGAAGAUCACCAGCUUGGAUGGCCGUCACCUCAAGAUUCCUCAUAGGUGAGUCCAAAUGACCUCCAGCCUCUCGAAGGCAUCAAGACAAAUUGAAAGAAAGCAAUAACUCACCAAAGCUCAACGCUGCCCCUGCCUCGACCUCCAUGGGUCUCUUCGUGUUCCUCGUUUCACCCCAGUUUGUAGCAACUUGGGCACCAGCUUUUCUGGACAGCCUGGCUUCUUACUGGCAUUGUCCAACUCAUCCCUUCUCGAAGCAUGUCUUUGCCAUGGGCUGUGUCCUUCCAGGGAAAUUGUGGUCUCGGGCCUGUCUCCUCCACAUGCGGUCCACACAUCAGUAAGGGCCUGGAGAUGUGUAAAGACACAGCAAGGGGCAAGCAGACUCUUGGCCACGUGUUUCCAGUGGCUGGACCACGCCGACACCUGGGAUCUUGAGAUACCCAGUUUCAACAUUAGUUUGCAUUCACCUUUACAAAGGCCUUUCUUUAGAUCUGUGCAGCCUUUGCGUGCCAAACUUGUGAAAUUCCUUUUACCUUUUUUGGAGUACUUGCUAUAAAGCCACCUGUCAACAAACCCCCAUUAUGUACAGAAUAGGCACCCAUCACCCUCAGCACCAGGCCACCCUGCAGUCCACUUACUGUACUGUGUUGUGGAAGGAUAUGCUAAGUGAUGAAAGUUGCGAGCAGUCUCACCACUCUUCUGGUCAUGAUCUCUGAUCUCCACCUCAAAUGACAAUAAAAAACUGGUCCAACGAAGACACUGCUCAGCACUUCAGCCAUCAGGACUAAUCCAUCGAUGACUGGAAAAGAGGCUAGCUUUGAGGAAAACAGCCUGGGCUCUUGGGAGCAGAGUCCCCAGGGCAGCCUGAGGAGGAGGAGGCCGGGUGCCUGUUUGGUGGCAGCUUCAGCCUAGGGAUACCUGAAGCUGUUGAGCAACACCUUUAUGAAAUGUUGCCAGAGCAGCAACACUUCCCUGUGGGCACAGCCCCGGGAAAUCCGGUACCAAGUGAGCAAGGUGGCAAAUGCCCUAAAAUUAUUACCACCCAAGAGAAACAGGAAAAAGGUUACAUGUUUUUGUUUACUGAGAGUAAGAUCACCUGCAUCUGGAAGACGGGCUGGUAAAUUGGUUUGGCUACAGAACAGAAAGAAAACAAAAACAAACCUCGUAAGGGAAGUAUCACACUCAGACACCACCGCUUCCUAGAGCCAAAUGAGCAAUCCCAAACUGCAAGUGCCAUAAGUGGGCCUGUGAGGUCACACCGCCCGGCCCGAGGUAUCGCAUGUGCGGGGGAGGUCCACACUACAGCUGUCCUCU
rnacentral:lncRNA from 1 species